AUUUUGCUUGAAGAACCAGAACAACAUCUCUGUGCACCUCAACAGAGUGUGCAUGAAGCUAAAACCAAAACAAGAGAUUGAUCAAGAAGUCGCCGCUGCCCGAGAUUCCAUGGUACAGCAUCUUUGGCAAGGCAGGAUGGUUGACUACAGCUCACUCAGUUAUAUCGUUACACAACAAGACGCACUCCGACUCCUGAUCCAGAAGCUUGAACAAACUGGUCACAUUAUUAAGAACAAGCCAGAAGACAAACAAAUACACGGGUAAGCUUUUUUUGACACUGAUAAAUAAUAUAUAUGCAAGUUACAUAAUAAUUUAACUCAUUUGAACUGUUGUUUGAUUGCAAUAUAAUAUCAAUGUUUUUGUUUAUCUGUGUGAUAUUUCAGCCAAGUGGAAGUGGCUCAUGUGUUGGCACCAACUGAAGCUGCAGAAUCAGACAUCAACAUGGAGGAUGACCAGUCUGCCUUGUACCAACUACCAGAGAACCAGUCAUGGGACAACAAACUGACAAAGGGGAUGCAAAGCAGUGGUUUAUAAGGUACACAGAUGAUGUUGAACUACAAAUCUACUGAUGUCUUGACAGUCGGAUGCACUCUCCUGCCCAGAUAAAGAUGAUAGCUACGUCACGGGUAGAGUGAGGCUGCAGAGGACAGAUAGAGAUGAUAGCUACAUCAUGGGUAGAGUGG